rnacentral:lncRNA from 1 species
GUUGUUUCCCAUUUCUCUCAGCCUCCUACUUCAGCCCAUCUACUGCGAUGUCCCCCUCCUGCGGGCAUCAACAAUCCUGUUGGUGGACUGUAAGCAGAAGAAAAAGAUUGAAACAGCUGAUCAUAUGCAAACCAAGAAGAAACAGAAUCGAAAGAAAAUUCGGGACAACGUUGUACUGAUCAGCGCAACCAUCACCUCAUAAUUGAAUUUUUGCUUGUUGUCUUCCAUAUCUAUCAUACUGUAUAUGAUAUCCCACUCCUACAAAGCUCACACCACUAUGAACUGAGAUAGUCGUACACCCAUAAGAUUUUUGCACACUAUCUUUCAAGAAACAGCAAGGCCACAAUAAUUGAUCAUGCUCAUGUCCAAACCCAGCAACUCUUCUAUUAUGCAUCAAGAUGAUUUAUAUCAACUACAAAUAUUCGCUUGUCCAUUUCAUCAGAGAGGUUAUAAGCAUAAUGCCAUUGGAAAAAAAAGAUAAGAAUGGACAGCAUACCUUUGUUAUGGUGAUGAGAGCUAAUUUUAUAGGAAAUGCACCCAGGAGACACAAGCCUCAGUCUAUAUAUGUACCUGUCAUGGCAAUAAUGUGAAGAGAAAUGAAGUUGAAUAUAACAGACCAAAUACCCAAUUGAGUAUCAAAAUAACAUAAAUUGUAAAGUAGUGGGAUGAAAAUACCAACCUGUAUUUCUUCAGUAUAGGCAACCAGUUCUAGAGCUAAUGGUACAUUUUAAGCUCGAACGUACAUACACAGCACACCUAAUUUGACUAAGUUCAACUGAUGCCGCAAAACCAGCUCCUUCA